rnacentral:sRNA from 1 species
GGAGGCGGCGACGCCCCCCCCGACUUGAUUGGCGCCAGCCAAUCUGCCGCCUCCGCGCCUCAUUCUCGAUGAUGCCACUUCAAAGGCGGUCCUCCCGGGCCGCCU